GAAGGGCGUACUAAUCUGCGAUAAGCGCCGGUAAGGUGAUAUGAACCGUUAUAACCGGCGAUACCCGAAUGGGGAAACCCAGUGUGAUUCGUCACACUAUCAUUAACUGAAUCCAUAGGUUAAUGAGGCGAACCGGGGGAACUGAAACAUCUAAGUACCCCGAGGAAAAGAAAUCAACCGAGAUUCCCCCAGUAGCGGCGAGCGAACGGGGAGGAGCCCAGAGCCUGAAUCAGCAUGUGUGUUAGUGGAAGCGUCUGGAAAGGCGCGCGAUACAGGGUGACAGCCCCGUACACAAAAGCGCAUGUGCUGUGAGCUCGAUGAGUAGGGCGGGACACGUGGUAUCCUGUCUGAAUAUGGGGGGACCAUCCUCCAAGGCUAAAUACUCCUGACUGACCGAUAGUGAACCAGUACCGUGAGGGAAAGGCGAAAAGAACCCCGGCGAGGGGAGUGAAAAAGAACCUGAAACCGUGUACGUACAAGCAGUGGGAGCCCCACCACCAAAGCAUUUGCUGUACCGCGUUGACGGA
rnacentral:rRNA from 1 species